GUGGCCUUGAGCCGUGGCUUUCGGAGCUAACGCGUUAAGUAGACCGCCUGGGGAGUACGGUCGCAAGAUUAAAACUCAAAUGAAUUGACGGGGGCCCGCACAAGCGGUGGAGCAUGUGGUUUAAUUCGAUGCAACGCGAAGAACCUUACCUACUCUUGACAUCCAGAGAAUCUAGCGGAGACGCUGGAGUGCCUUCGGGAACUCUGAGACAGGUGCUGCAUGGCUGUCGUCAGCUCGUGUUGUGAAAUGUUGGGUUAAGUCCCGCAACGAGCGCAACCCUUAUCCUUGUUUGCCAGCGAGUAAUGUCGGGAACUCCAGGGAGACUGCCGGUGAUAAACCGGAGGAAGGUGGGGACGACGUCAAGUCAUCAUGGCCCUUACGAGUAGGGCUACACACGUGCUACAAUGGCGCAUACAGAGGGCGGCCAACUUGCGAAAGUGAGCGAAUCCCAAAAAGUGCGUCGUAGUCCGGAUUGGAGUCUGCAACUCGACUCCAUGAAGUCGGAAUCGCUAGUAAUCGUGGAUCAGAAUGCCACGGUGAAUACGUUCCCGGGCCUUGUACACACCGCCCGUCACACCAUGGGAGUGGGCUGCAAAAGAAGUGGGUAGUUUAACCUUCGGGAGGACGCUCACCACUUUGUGGUUCAUGACUGGGGUGAAGUCGUAACAAGGUAGCGCUAGGGGAACCUGGCGCUGGAUCACCUCCUUAUACGAUGAU
rnacentral:rRNA from 1 species